AAGGACUUAGUUUAUUUGUAAAAUAUUAAAUUGUAAAUUUAAAGUAAGUGUUCUUG
rnacentral:tRNA from 1 species